rnacentral:rRNA from 1 species
CUCCGGGCCCGAUCCUCCCACCCUUUGUGUACCUACCUCUGUUGCUUUGGCGGGCCGCGGUCCUCCGCGGCCGCCCCCCUCCCCGGGGGGUGGCCAGCGCCCGCCAGAGGACCAUCAAACUCCAGUCAGUAAACGAUGCAGUCUGAAAAACAUUUAAUAAACUAAAACUUUCAACAACGGAUCUCUUGGUUCUGGCAUCGAUGAAGAACGCAGCGAAAUGCGAUAAGUAAUGUGAAUUGCAGAAUUCAGUGAAUCAUCGAAUCUUUGAACGCACAUUGCGCCCUUUGGUAUUCCGAAGGGCAUGCCUGUUCGAGCGUCAUUACAACCCUCAAGCUCUGCUUGGUAUUGGGCACCGUCCUUUGCGGGCGCGCCUCAAAGACCUCGGCGGUGGCGUCUUGCCUCAAGCGUAGUAGAACAUACAUCUCGCUUCGGAGCGCAGGGCGUCGCCCGCCGGACGAACCUUCUGAACUUUUCUCAAGGUUGACCUCGGAUCAGGUAGGGAUACCCGCUGAACUUAAGCAUAUCAAUAAGCGGAGGAA